AUGACUCAUGAUUCCGGAAGAUUUGAAAAUAAAGACAGACCAAGAGAUGUAACUGCCAUCUCCAAGAUUUCAGUUACAAUGCUAGCAGCGGUGCUCAGCUUCUUCCUCCUCCUCUUCCUCAGCCCAAAUCUUGCUGAUGAUACAGUGGCAGAGGACAUUGGACCUCACCAGCUGGAGCGGCUGGUGGAGCUGCUGACAGCUCAUGAGUGUGAGGAGCUCAUCUCUGCCAUAUCUCAACCUGAGGAGAGCAUCUUCAAACACUUAGACCGACUAUCUGCAGAAAGGAACCAGUUACUGCAUUCAAGAAGACGCAGAAACACAGAGGUGGGUAAGAACAUCAACCAGGACAAAACUCUUGCUAUCCAGAGAUAUGUGGACGGCUAUCAUGAACUUGUUAACCAAAUGGCCACUCACCUGGAGAAGCAUGCAUCCGAAAAUCAUGAAGACCAUGAGGAGGUGCUACAUUACUCUGCAAAACAGGCAAGCAGCCAAGAACUCAUCUUUACAGCAGAAUGAAGACAAUGCCUUGGUGCAGAUGGGCUCUGUCAGAAAGAAACACAUAACAACAUGGGUACAUUGACAUUCUCUCUGACACUUGCUAUUUUUGGUUGUCCCUCACACACAUAUAAAUGUCACAAAUGAAUUCUGUCUCUCUCACACAUGCAUGAAAACAGAUGGAGACAUAUCAUAACAGACUCAUCCAUGCAUUGAUGCAACGUCUCAUCCAAAAGUCUGAACUUCAAAUAAGAUUAUGUAGACAUUUUUGCAUCAUCUGACAUGCUAAAGCAGCAUAAAAUGUGCUUGUAUGCAAUUCCAAUUUAUAAAUUACACAUCAUAUUUGACAUUUAAAAUAAUAUGUUUUGUCAACCGAAACAAAUAUUUAAAGUUUGUCAGGUUCACAAAAUCUAAAAACAUUAAACAGACUGUACUUCUGUCCCUCACAUCACAUCAAAUAAAACAUGGCA
ensembl:lncRNA